rnacentral:rRNA from 1 species
GAGCGAACGCUAGCGGGAUGCCUCAAACAUGCAAGUCGAACGCGAAAGGGUAGCAAUACCCGAGUAGAGUGGCGUACGGGUGCGUAACACGUAGCUAACAUUCCCUUUUGCUGGGGAUAACUCCGGGAAACCGGAGCUAAUACCGAAUAGUCUGGCGAGAUCUGCGGAUCUUUCCGGCAAAGCCGUAAGGCGCGAAAGGAUUGGGCUGCGGUCCAUUAGCUUGUUGGUAGGGUAACGGCCUACCAAAGCGACGAUGGAUAGCUGGUCUGAGAGGAUGAUCAGCCACACUGGAACUGACACACGGUCCAGACUCCCACGGGAGGCAGCAGUUGGGAAUAUUGGACAAUGGGGGCAACCCUGAUCCAGCAAUCCCGCGUGAAUGACGAAGGCCUUCGGGUCGUAAAGUUCUUUUAGUAGGGAAAAAGGGAAACUUGAUUGUACCUACAGAAAAAGCACCGGCUAACUCCGUGCCAGCAGCCGCGGUAAUACGGAGGGUGCAAGCGUUGCUCGGAAUCAUUGGGCGUAAAGCGCGUGUAGGCGGCUGCCUAAGUCUAAUGUGAAAUCCCGGAGCUUAACUCCGGAACUGCAUCGGAUACUGGGCAGCUAGAGGAUGAGAGAGGAUGGUGGAAUUCCAGGUGUAGGGGUGAAAUCCGUAGAUAUCUGGAGGAACAUCAGUGGCGAAGGCGGCCAUCUGGCUCAUUUCUGACGCUGAGACGCGAAAGCGUGGGGAGCAAACAGGAUUAGAUACCNUGGUAGUCCACGCCCUAAACUAUGGACACUAGUCGUCGGGAUUUCCAAUAGUCUCGGUGACGUAGCUAACGCAUUAAGUGUCCCGCCUGGGAAGUACGGUCGCAAGAUUAAAACUCAAAGGAAUUGACGGGGGCCCGCACAAGCGGUGGAACAUGUGGUUCAAUUCGAUGCUACGCGAAGAACCUUACCUAGAUUUGACAUCCCAGGCUACCUUAAGAAAUUAAGGGUUCCCUUCGGGGACCUGGAGACAGGUGCUGCAUGGCUGUCGUCAGCUCGUGUUGUGAGAUGUUGGGUUAAGUCCCGCAACGAGCGCAACCCUCGCCACUAGUUACCAGCAUUAAGUUGGGGACUCUAGUGGGACCGCUUGGCUAUAAGCCAGAGGAAGGUGGGGAUGACGUCAAGUCCUCAUGGCCUUUAUAUCUAGGGCUACACACGUGUUACAAUGGGAGUUACAGAGCGUUGCAAGCGCGCAAGUGCAAGCUAAUCGCAAAAAAACUUCCUCAGUUCGGAUUGGAGUCUGCAACUCGACUCCAUGAAGCUGGAAUCGCUAGUAAUCGCGGAUCAGCACGCCGCGGUGAAUACGUUCCCGGG